rnacentral:rRNA from 1 species
UUGAACGCUGGCGGCAUGCUUUACACAUGCAAGUCGAACGGCAGCGGGGGCUUCGGCCUGCCGGCGAGUGGCGAACAGGUGAGUAAUGCAUCGGAACGUACCCAGUCGUGGGGGAUAACUACGCGAAAGCGUAGCUAAUACCGCAUACGCCCUGAGGGGGAAAGCGGGGGACCUUCGGGCCUCGCGCGAUUGGAGCGGCUGAUGUCGGAUCAGCUGGUUGGUGGGGUAAAGGCCUACCAAGGCGACGAUCCGUAGCUGGUCUGAGAGGAUGAUCAGCCACACUGGAACUGAGACACGGCGCAGACUCCUACGGGAGGCAGCAGUGGGGAAUUUUGGACAAUGGGCGCAAGCCUGAUCCAGCAAUGCCGCGUGCAGGAUGAAGGCCUUCGGGUUGUAAACUGCUUUUGUACGGAACGAAACGGUUCUCUUUAAUAAAGAGGGCUAAUGACGGUACCGUAAGAAUAAGCACCGGAUAACUACGU